GGAAUGGAAUUGCUGGGGCAUAGAGUAGCUGCCUGUUUAACUUUAUAAGAAACUUCCAGUUUCUCAAGUGAUUGUACCAUUUUACACCAAUGAAGAAUGAGACCUGAUCCCCUUAAAACGAAGAAGAAAGCUAAAGUCAUUCACCCCAAAAUCUUUCACCCCAGAUUAUUGGUGGGUGCGAUUUCUGAGUCCUUUCAGGAUGGUUCCAGACCUCAAUUGUAUUUCCAGAGUCCUCAACAUGAGCCCUAAUGUAGAUUUGUGCCUGUAUUUUUUCUUUAUUUUCUUUUCUUGAAAAGGAAAUAGUUCACCUGCCUAAUUGCCCCCAUCCUAACUUUUCUCUUCCCUCUGUUCCUGUGCUCCCCAUUAGCACGCACUGUACUUUCUCUGUGGGUGGGAGUCACAACCCCAGAGGCCUGGACAACCUGGGGAGCAGGAGCCAGCAAGUCUAGACCUCAGGGUCCUGAGAGGGACACAGGAAACAAGAACGCAGCAUGCUGAAUGCCUUUCCCAUUGGGGCAGUCAACCAUAUUAUUCUUCAGUUAAUGGAAUUUUCUUACUCUUCAAAACCCUCUUAAGAAGAACAGUAACACAGAAGGAUUUGCUCUACUGGAUACUAAAUUAUUAUAAAACCAAGUUUUCAAGGAUGAAGCUGUCCUGGUCCUCCCUCCAUCCUCUGUGGCCUGGUGUCUGUCUACUGAUCUGGGGAAAUUCACAGAAACAGGCUGGAGCUUUCUGCCAGAGCCUCCACUGGGAACCAGACCCUGUUCCUGGGGUGGGGCAGGCAGGCCUCUGUCCUGGGGUGUUGGCAUUUACAAUGUGCAAAAACUAUUAAAUACAGUUUUAAAGCUUAGCACAUAGGAAGAGCUACUAGAAAGUUCUGGAGGCCCACUCUCACAGCCUGCCCUUGACACUAGUCAUGAAGGCCUUGAUGUAGGCUCAAGUAGGUGGGGUGCUGAGCCUCCUGUGGCCCCCUCUGGCUGUGUGCCCUGCCCUGGCACACCAAGAGUAAACUUCCAGUCUUCGGAGAAAUAACACCAUCAUACAUACAGGGAAACUGUCAGAUAGCUGGUCCAGGGGGACAUAUGAACUUCCUGACAGAGUUCAACAAGAGCAGAAGGAGGGAAGGGAAGGAGUACUGGGUGGCAUAGUAAAACAGGGCUUUGGCUGUAGGAACAGGACAGCCAGCAUGGGUUACAGCUGACCCUCCACAGGUUGAAUAAUUAGGGAGAAAACCCCCAGUGGGGUUGCAGUACUACUGUUUUGCACAGCUGUGAAUUCCCGAGUGGAGAAGGCCACCUUUUUCCACCCUAUGGAAAGGCCAGCAUCCUUAUCCUAAGGUUCAAGCUGUCAUCAAAUUCUCCCUAGAAUGUCAUGUUUCAGCCCCCUCUCUUCCCCCCCCCCCAAGGAGGCAAUGAUGCUGGAGGGAUGCUAAGAGGUAAGACAUGGGAGCAGAAAUGGGAGACACCCAUGUCCCAAAUGGAACCCAUGGGCACAAGUCUGAGGUUCCUCAAGCUCUCCAGUUAAGGCCCCUCUUCCUACUCUCCCUUCCUAGGGACUCCUCAGCCAGAGGCUUCAGGUCCCACCCACAUGGGGAUUCACAGGUUAAUAUUCACAGCCUACCCUCUAGACAAAAUCCUUACCUUGUCCUGCUAACAAAUAUUUGUUGAGCACCCUCCAUGCGUCAUGCCAGGAUCCAAUAGCAAUUCCACCAAGCCACUCCUCUGGGGUGCUUGCAUUCUGCUGAUGUCUCAAAGGCACCUCAAACCCAUCAUGUGCUGAAGGCUGACACUUAGGGAGCCAGGCAUGGUUUUACACACUUUAUGGGUACAGGAGCACCUUGUAGACAUUUUGGUUUCAGUUCUAGGCCAUCACAAUAAGGUGAAGAUUGCAAUAAAGUAAGUCAAUGAAUUUUUUGGUUUUCCA
rnacentral:lncRNA from 1 species